CAGGUCUUGACAUCCUCUGACAACCCUAGAGAUAGGGCGUUCCCCUUCGGGGGACAGAGUGACAGGUGGUGCAUGGUUGUCGUCAGCUCGUGUCGUGAGAUGUUGGGUUAAGUCCCGCAACGAGCGCAACCCUUGUUCUUAGUUGCCAGCAUUUAGUUGGGCACUCUAAGGAGACUGCCGGUGACAAACCGGAGGAAGGUGGGGAUGACGUCAAAUCAUCAUGCCCCUUAUGACCUGGGCUACACACGUGCUACAAUGGAUGGUACAAAGAGUCGCAAACCCGCGAGGGCUAGCUAAUCUCAUAAAGCCAUUCUCAGUUCGGAUUGUAGGCUGCAACUCGCCUACAUGAAGCCGGAAUCGCUAGUAAUCGCGGAUCAGCAUGCCGCGGUGAAUACGUUCCC
rnacentral:rRNA from 1 species